rnacentral:rRNA from 1 species
UAGGGAAUCUUCGGCAAUGGGGGGAACCCUGACCGAGCAACGCCGCGUGAGUGAAGAAGGUUUUCGGAUCGUAAAGCUCUGUUAAUCGGGACGAAUGGUUCAUGUGCAAAUAGCGCAUAGACAUGACGGUACCGGAAUAGAAAGCCACGGCUAACUACGUGCCAGCAGCCGCGGUAAUACGUAGGUGGCAAGCGUUGUCCGGAAUUAUUGGGCGUAAAGCGCGCGCAGGCGGACUAGCCAGUCAGUCUUAAAAGUUCGGGGCUUAACCCCGUGAUGGGAUUGAAACUACUAGUCUAGAGUAUCGGAGAGGAAAGUGGAAUUCCUAGUGUAGCGGUGAAAUGCGUAGAUAUUAAAAAGAAUACCGGUGGCGAAGGCGACUUACUGGGCUCAUUCUGACGCUGAGGAACGAAAGCGUGGGUAGCAAACAGG